GAGUUUGAUCGUGGCUCAGGACGAACGCUGGCGGCGUGCUUAACACAUGCAAGUCGAGGGGGCUACUUCGGUAGUCACCGGCGAACGGGUGCGUAACACGUGAGCGACCUGCCCCACCGGUGGGGAAUAGUCGGCCCAACGGCCGGGUAAUACCGCAUUCGCUCUCUUCGAGGCAUCUCGAGGAGAGGAAAGCUCUGGGCAACCAGGGCGCCGGGGGAGGGGCUCGCGGCCUAUCAGCUAGUUGGAGGGGUAACGGCCCACCAAGGCAACGACGGGUAGCUGGUCUGAGAGGAUGGCCAGCCACAUUGGGACUGAGAUACGGCCCAGACUCCUACGGGAGGCAGCAGUGGGGAAUAUUGCGCAAUGGCCUAAGGGCUGACGCAGCGACGCCGCGUGUGGGAGGACGCCCCUAGGGGGUGUAAACCACUGUUGCCCGGGACGAAUCCUGGAUUAGCUCCAGGUUGACGGUACCGGGUGAGGAAGCACCGGCUAACUCCGUGCCAGCCGCCGCAGUAAC
rnacentral:rRNA from 1 species